CCUGGCUCAGGAUGAACGCUAGCUACAGGCUUAACACAUGCAAGUCGAGGGGAAACGACAUCGAAAGCUYGCUUUYGAUCGGGCGUCGACCGGCGCACGGGUGAGUAACGCGUAUCCAACCUGCCCACCACUUCGGGGAUAACCUUCGCGAAAGUAAGACUAAUACCCAAUGAUAUCUCUAGAAGACAUCUGAAAGAGAUUAAAGAUUUAUCGGUGGUGGAUGGGGAUGCGUCUGAUUAGCUUGUUGGCGGGGUAACGGCCCACCAAGGCGACGAUCAGUAGGGGUUCUGAGAGGAAGGUCCCCCACAUUGGAACUGAGACACGGUCCAAACUCCUACGGGAGGCAGCAGUGAGGAAUAUUGGUCAAUGGGCGAGAGCCUGAACCAGCCAAGUAGCGUGCAGGAUGACGGCCCUAUGGGUUGUAAACUGCUUUUAUAAGGGAAUAAAGUGAGCCUCGUGAGGCUUUUUGCAUGUACCUUAUGAAUAAGGACCGGCUAAUUCCGUGCCAGCAGCCGCGGUAAUACGGAAGGUCCGGGCGUUAUCCGGAUUUAUUGGGUUUAAAGGGAGCGUAGGCCGGAGAUUAAGCGUGUUGUGAAAUGUAGACGCUCAACGUCUGCACUGCAGCGCGAACUGGUUUCCUUGAGUACGCACAAAGUGGGCGGAAUUCGUGGUGUAGCGGUGAAAUGCUUAGAUAUCACGAAGAACUCCGAUUGCGAAGGCAGCUCACUGGAGCGCAACUGACGCUGAAGCUCGAAAGUGCGGGUAUCGAACAGGAUUAGAUACCCUGGUAGUCCGCACGGUAAACGAUGGAUGCCCGCUGUUGGUYUUGAAUAGGUCAGCGGCCAAGCGAAAGCAUUAAGCAUCCCACCUGGGGAGUACGCCGGCAACGGUGAAACUCAAAGAAAUGACGG
rnacentral:rRNA from 1 species